rnacentral:lncRNA from 10 species
AGUCCACGGAACCCAGGGUAACUGGGAUGGUAUCUGGAUUGGAGUCAGUGUUAGCAAGACUCUCCCACUUGGAAAGACAAAAUAGUGUAUAGUCAUUCACACUGUGAACUCUAUUUCCAAGAAGAAAUGCAGAAACUUAACAGGAAAACGGAAAUCCACCAAUUCUCUGAAAGAAGCUGCAUGCUGCAGCCUACAUUGUAAGGUUGCUGUUGAAUAUCUUUAAUAUAUCAAAACCUGCAAGGUGCUAGACAUACAAGGUAAAUACAAAGUCUCUAUCAAAGAAUUUAAUAAGAGAUUGGAGAAACAGACACUUAGAAACAUUUACAAAUCACCAUGAAUGGAACAAUGU